UUGUUUUCUAAACUUGGGGAAAAUACAUGUACUAUGGUAUGAUCAUUACAAAAACUAAGGAAUGAUACUAUAGAUCAUGUGAUGUAUAGGGUGCCAUAAGCACCAUUAAUCAGUUACAUACCAAGACCGCGGAACAAAAGGUUAGAUCUAAUGGGUUUCAGGCAACCACACUCUUGGCCACUCUUUUACCAAGCAGUGCUUUUGUGUCUCUAGUCGUGAAUCGACAAGUAAAAAUGCCUAUGGUUUGGAUGCUUCCUAUGUCGUUACACAUUACAAUUACAUACUGAAAGUCCCGUUUGCGUUUGAUACCUUUGGUGGUCUCGCUCCUGACGCUGUACGACUCUUGAAUCUGGUUCAAAAAGUCGUUAAUAGCAAUUCUUCGUCGCUAAAGGUUUCAAACUUUGUAUUUAGUAGAAUUGGUUUUUCUAUUCAAAAGGGGGUGCCAGCGCAACUUGCUGCCCGACUACCUGCCAUUGCUUUGUAAAAAAAUAAAAAAAAAAUAAAAAAAUAAAAUAAAAGACAUU
rnacentral:lncRNA from 1 species